UGGGGAAUCUUGCACAAUGCGCGAAAGCGUGAUGCAGCAACGCCGCGUGGGGGAAGACGGCCUUCGGGUUGUAAACCCCUUUCAGUUGGGACGAAGCUUCGUCGGUGAAUAGCCGGUUGGAGUGACGGUACCUUCAGAAGAAGCCCCGGCUAACUACGUGCCAGCAGCCGCGGUAAUACGUAGGGGGCAAGCGUUGUCCGGAAUCAUUGGGCGUAAAGCGCGUGUAGGCGGCUCGAUAAGUCUGCUGUGAAAGUCCAGGGCUCAACCCUGGGAUGCCGGUGGAUACUGUCGAGCUCGAGUCCGGAAGAGGCGAGUGGAAUUCCUGGUGUAGCGGUGAAAUGCGCAGAUAUCAGGAGGAACACCAAUGGCGAAGGCAGCUCGCUGGGACGUGACUGACGCUGAGACGCGAAAGCGUGGGGAGCAAACA
rnacentral:rRNA from 1 species